rnacentral:misc_RNA from 1 species
GAUGAAGAACGUAGCGAAAUGCGAUGAGUAAUGUGAAUUGCAGAAUUCAGUGAAUCAUCGAAUCUUUGAACGCACAUUGCGCCCGGCAGUACUCUGCCGGGCAUGCCUGUUCGAGCGUCAUUUCAACCCUCAAGCCCUGCUUGGUGUUGGGGCCCUACGGCUGCCGUAGGCCCCGAAAGGAAGUGGCGGGCUCGCUACAACUCCGAGCGUAGUAACUCAUUAUCUCGCUUAGGGCGUUGGGCGGCGCUCCAGCCGUUAAAGAACCAUCUUUAACUCAAGGUUGACCUCGGAUCAGGUAGGAAUACCCGCUGAACUUAAGCAUAUCAAUAAGCGGAGGA